CAGGCAGGCAGGCAGCUCUGCCUGCUGCUUUGAAUGACAAUGUUGCUUUGACUAAGUGUGUGUGUGCGUGCGUCGUUUCUCUCUCUCUGCCUCUUUCUAGUGUGUGCUUGUGUGUGUGUGGUGAGAGAGAGAGAGAGAGAGAAAGAGAAAACGCGGGCCACCACCUGUCGAUGUUGCCAGCUAACCCAGGCAACUCCAUGCCUCAAGAAGAAAGAAGAAAGGCACAGUCCUUGGAAAGCUCUUCCCAAAUUGGUGCCAUUUCAUCUCACAGAGUUUUUGUUGUGUGGAAAAUAAGAGGAGGAAGGAAUAUUAGCAUCAUGGACAUUCUCAGAGAGACUGUCGCUAUUGAAAUGACCACUAGAGCAAAUUGAGUCAUGCUCAAAGUCCUGAAUGGUAGAAAACAAAGUAGCGGACCAAAUGACAAUGCUUCAGGAUGCUUGAGAAAGAGAUGCUCAAAGGUUUCAGGCUAAAAAAACAAGACACAUUGUAAAGCUCAUUUAUCAGUUAAUUGUUCAUACUGAAAAGAAUACAAGAAUAAGAAAAAUUAAGCAAAUAAAUAUUUUAUUAUAUUUGAA